GACGAACGCUGGCGGCGUGCCUAAUACAUGCAAGUAGAACGCUGAAGGAGGAGCUUGCUUCUCUGGAUGAGUUGCGAACGGGUGAGUAACGCGUAUGUAACCUGCCUUGUAGCGGGGGAUAACUAUUGGAAACGAUAGCUAAUACCGCAUAAUAGCAGUUGUUGCAUGACAACUGUUUGAAAGUUGCAAUUGCACCACUACCAGAUGGCCCUGCGUUGUAUUAGCUAGUUGGUGGGGUAACGGCUCACCAAGGCGACGAUACAUAGCCGACCUGAGAGGGGGAUCGGCCAACCUUGGACUGAGAACAGGCCCAGAACUCUAAGGGAGGGAGCAGGAGGGAAACAUCGGAAAUGGACGGCAGGCUGAACGAGCAAAGACGCGUGAGGGAAGAAGGGUGUCGGAUCGUAAAGGUCUGUUGUAAGAGAAGAAAGAGUGUGAGAGUGGAAAGUUCACAUUGUGACGGUAUCUUAACAGAAAGGGACGGCUAACUACGUG
rnacentral:rRNA from 1 species